rnacentral:rRNA from 1 species
GACGAACGCUGGCGGCGUGCUUAACACAUGCAAGUCGAACGGGAGUAUUGAAGAAGCUUGCUUUAGAGAUAUUUUAGUGGCGGACGGGUGAGUAACGCGUGAGGAGCUGUCCGAUGCAGGGGGACAACAGUUGGAAGCGACUGCUAAUACCCCAUAAGCCGAGAGGUAAAAGGAUUUAUCCGGCAUGGGAGGUACUCGCGUCCUAUCAGCUAGUAGGUGAGGUAACGGCUCACCUAGGCGAAGACGGGUAGCCGGCCUGAGAGGGCGAACGGCCACACUGGAACUGAGAUACGGUCCAGACUCCUACGGGAGGCAGCAGUGGGGAAUAUUGGGCAAUGGGGGGAACCCUGACCCAGCGACGCCGCGUGGGUGAAGAAAUCCCUCGGGGUGUAAAGCCCUGUUGUAUGGGAAGAGCGGAAGACGGUACCAUACGAGGAAGCCCCGGCAAACUACGUGCCAGCCGCCGCAGUAA